UACGUAGGUGACCAGCGUUGUCCGGAUUUACUGGGCGUAAAGAGCGCGCAGGCGGUCGUUCAAGUCGAGUGUGAAAGCCCCCGGCUCAACUGGGGAGGGUCACUCGAUACUGAUCGACUUGAAGGCAGGAGAGGGAAGCGGAAUUCCCGGUGUAGUGGUGAAAUGCGUAGAUAUCCGGAGGAACGCCAGUGGCGAAAGCGGCCACCUGGACUGCACCUGACGCUGACACGCGAAAGCUAGGGGAGCGAACGGG
rnacentral:rRNA from 1 species